rnacentral:rRNA from 1 species
CACGUAGGGUGCGAGCGUUGUCCGGAAUUAUUGGGCGUAAAGAGCUCGUAGGCGGUGUGUCGCGUCGGCCGUGAAAACCUGCAGCUUAACUGUGGGCUUGCGGUCGAUACGGGCAUCACUGGAGUUCGGCAGGGGAGACUGGAAUUCCUGGUGUAGCGGUGAAAUGCGCAGAUAUCUGGAGGAACACCGGUGGCGAAGGCGGCAUCCUGGACCGGCAUUGACGCUGAGGCGCGAAAGCCAGGGGA